CGACAAAAUGCAUGUCCACACAAAAUUGUUCCUCACCAAUGAGUAAGGGAAAAUUUUGUGUGAACAUGCAUUUUGUCGA